AGAGUUUGAUCCUGGCUCAGAAUGAACGCUGGCGGCGUGCCUAACACAUGCAAGUCGUACGAGAACUCUUCUGCUUGCAGAAGAUAGUAAAGUGGCGCACGGGUGAGUAACGCGUGGGUAAUCUCCCUUCGAAUCGGGGAUAACAUUGCGAAAGCGAUGCUAAUACCGGAUAAUAUCCAUGAAACUUCGGUUUUUUGGAUCAAAUGUGGCCUCUACAUGUAAGCUACUGUUUGAAGAUGAGCCCGCGUACCAUUAGCUUGUUGGUAGGGUAAUGGCCUACCAAGGCUUCGAUGGUUAGCUGGCCUGAGAGGAUGAUCAGCCACACUGGAACUGACACACGGUCCAGACUCCUACGGGAGGCAGCAGUGAGGAAUUUUGCGCAAUGGGGGAAACCCUGACGCAGCAACGCCGCGUGAGUGAUGAAGGCUUUCGGGUCGUAAAGCUCUGUCAAGUGGGAAGAAACUAUCCUGUGCCAAUACCAUGGGAUACUGACGGUACCACUGAAGGAAGCACCGGCUAACUCCGUGCCAGCAGCCGCGGUAAUACGGGGGGUGCAAGCGUUAUUCGGAAUCAUUGGGCGUAAAGGGCGCGCAGGCGGUUUCAUAAGUCAGAUGUGAAAGCCCGGGGCUCAACCCCGGAAGUGCAUUUGAAACUAUGAAACUUGAGUAUGGGAGAGGGAAGUGGAAUUCCUGGUGUAGAGGUGAAAUUCGUAGAUAUCAGGAGGAACAUCGGUGGCGAAGGCGACUUCCUGGACCAAUACUGACGCUGAGGCGCGAAGGCGUGGGGAGCAAACAGGAUUAGAUACCCUGGUAGUCCACGCAGUAAACGUUGAUCACUAGGUGUAGCGGGUAUUGACCCCUGCUGUGCCGCAGUUAACGCAUUAAGUGAUCCGCCUGGGGAGUACGGCCGCAAGGUUAAAACUCAAAGGAAUUGACAGGGGCCCGCACAAGCGGUGGAGCAUGUGGUUUAAUUCGACAACGCGAAGAACCUUACCUGGAUUUGACAUCCUGGGAAUUCUAUCGAAAGACUGAAGUGCCCUUCGGGGAGCCCAGUGACAGGUGCUGCAUGGCUGUCGUCAGCUCGUGUCGUGAGAUGUUGGGUUAAGUCCCGCAACGAGUGCAACCCCUAUCUUUAGUUGCCAGCGAUUCGGUCGGGGACUCUAAAGAUACUGCCCCGGUUAACGGGGAGGAAGGUGGGGAUGACGUCAAGUCCUCAUGGCCUUUAUGUCCAGGGCUACACACGUGCUACAAUGGGCUAUACAAAGGGUCGCGAACCUGCGAAGGUAAGCCAAUCCCAUAAAGUAGUCCAAAGUUCGGAUUGG
rnacentral:rRNA from 1 species